rfam:Bacteroides caccae CAG:21 genomic scaffold, scf141
GCCCUACUGACAGUUUGAAACUGGCAUCCGGUAGUGAGAAUCGGGUAGGGC